AAUGUUUUAAAAUUACAAAAAAGUCAUUUAUAAUAAAAAUUAAAAUAUUAUAAAUUUUAAUUUUAGGGGGUCAAAUUAAUUUUUUUAAUAAAAUUUGUGUUUUAAUUUCUUUUCGAAUUUCUUGACCCUUUUCCGUCAACUCUUAGAGUCUUGUUUCUUUUUUAGCAUAUUAUUGUUAUUGUUGCUAGUAAUAACUAGUCAGUGAAUCCAACAAAUUUUUUUUUUACUAUCCAAGUUCGAAUUUUUUUCCUAUCAAAUCUAUAUCUUGACCCCCUCGAAUCUUAAUUUCUGACUUCUCGCUGCAUUAAGUCAAUG
rnacentral:lncRNA from 1 species